CACACACACACACACACACACACACGCACGCACACACAUCUGACUGACACCGUUAGGCAUUGUCAUUGGAGUUGGGGCGCAUUGAGCUAAAACGAAUACGGAACCAAAAAUAUACCACACUUAACUAACUAAACGAAACGGCUGAGCAAAUGAAAUAAAGCAAAAAGAAAAUGAUAAAACGAAGAAAAAUGAGUAACGAAAACUAAACUUGGUAGAAACUAAUGAAUAGCAAAGUAACAAGUAAAGAGAAGUACAGAAAGAAAUUACAACAAAAACUGUGUCGCAUGCGAAAUGUGAAAAACUU